UUGGAGGGCAAGUCUGGUGCCAGCAGCCGCGGUAAUUCCAGCUCCAAUAGCGUAUAUUAAAGUUGUUGCAGUUAAAAAGCUCGUAGUUGAAUUUCGGGGUUUAUACGUUGGUCGGGCUUUUGGGUCUGUACUGGCGUAAUGAAUUCCUACCUUCUGAAUAACCAGCAUGUCAUUAAUUUGAUGCGCCGGGGAAGCAGGACUGUUACCUUGAAAAAAUUAGAGUGCUCAAAGCAGGCUAUUGCCUGAAUACAUUAGCAUGGAAUAAUGAAAUAGGACGGCAUGGUUCUAUUUUGUUGGUUUCUAGGAUCACCGUAAUGAUUAAUAGGGAUAGUUGGGGGCAUUAGUAUUCAAUUGUCAGAGGUGAAAUUCUUGGAUUUAUUGAAGACUAACUUCUGCGAAAGCAUUUGCCAAGGAUGUUUUCAUUAAUCAAGAACGAAAGUUAGGGGAUCGAAGACGAUCAGAUACCGUCGUAGUCUUAACCAUAAACUAUGCCGACUAGGGAUCGGACGAUGUUAAUUUUUUAAUGACUCGUUCGGCGCCUUACGGGAAAC
rnacentral:rRNA from 1 species